UCCUCUGUGGCGCAAUUGGCUAGCGCGUCUGACUGUUAAGUAUCUCGCCUUAGAGAUAGCGGCGAUCAGGAGGUUGACAGUUCAAGCCUGUCCGGAGGAG
rnacentral:tRNA from 1 species